UUUUAUGAGAGUUUAAUCCUGGCUCAGGACGAACGCUGGCGGCGUGCCUAAUACAUGCAAG
rnacentral:rRNA from 1 species